UACGUAGGUGGCAAGCGUUGUCCGGAAUUAUUGGGCGUAAAGCGCGCGCAGGCGGUUUCUUAAGUCUGAGGGGAAAUCUUGCGGCUCAACCGCAAGCGGCCAUUGGAAACUGGGAGACUUGAGUGCAGAAGAGGAGAGUGGAAUUCCACGUGUAGCGGUGAAAUGCGUAGAGAUGUGGAGGAACACCAGUGGCGAAGGCGACUCUCUGGUCUGUAACUGACGCUGAGGCGCGAAAGCGUGGGGAGCGAACAGG
rnacentral:rRNA from 1 species